rnacentral:rRNA from 1 species
AUUGAACGCUGGCGGCAUGCUUUACACAUGCAAGUCGAACGGCAGCGCGGGCUUCGGCCUGGCGGCGAGUGGCGAACGGGUGAGUAAUGCAUCGGAACGUGCCCAGUAGUGGGGGAUAGCCCGGCGAAAGCCGGAUUAAUACCGCAUACGACCUGAGGGUGAAAGCGGGGGACCGAAAGGCCUCGCGCUAUUGGAGCGGCCGAUGUCGGAUUAGCUAGUUGGUGGGGUAAAGGCUUACCAAGGCGACGAUCCGUAGCUGGUCUGAGAGGACGACCAGCCACACUGGGACGGAGACCCGCCCCGGACCCCCGGGGGGGCCGGAGGUGGGAAUUUUGGAAAAAGGGGGGAACCCCUAACCCGGCCUGGCCGCGUGGGGAAGAAGGCCUUUCGGUUGGAAACCGGUUUUUGUUGGGAAAAAAUCCUUCGGGGCUAAACCCCGGGGGGGGGGCGGGACCGGAAAAAAAAGCCCCGGCCAACCUCCG